GACGAACGCUGGCGGCGUGCUUAACACCUGCAAGUCGAACGAGUGGCGGACGGGUGCGUAAUGUCUGGGAAACUGCCUGAUGGAGGGGGCUAACUACUGGAAACGGUAGCCAAUACCGCAUACCAUCGGAUGUGCCCAGAUGGGAUUAGCUAGUAGGUGGGGUAAAGGCUCACCUAGGCGACGCUCCCUAGCUGGUCUGAGAGGAUGACCAGCCACACUGGAACUGAGACACGGUCCAGACGCCUACGGGAGGCAGCAGUGGGGAAUAGUGCACAAUGGGCGAAAGCCUGAUGCAGCCAUGCCGCGUGUAUGAAGAAGGCCUUCGGGUUGUAAAGUACUUUCAGCGGGGAGGCGUUACCCGCAGAAGAAGCACCGGCUAACUCCGUGCCAGCAGCCGCGGUAAUAC
rnacentral:rRNA from 1 species